rnacentral:rRNA from 1 species
UUGAUCCUGCCGGACCCGACUGCUAUCAGAGUGGGACUAAGCCAUGCGAGUCAACGCAGCAAUGCGUGGCAUACGGCUCAGUAACACGUAGUCAACAUGCCCAGGGGACGCGGAUAACCUCGGGAAACUGAGGAUAAACCGCGAUAGGCCAAGGUUUCUGGAAUGGACACUGGCUGAAACCUACAUGGCCCCUGGAUUGGACUGCGGCCGAUCAGGCUGUUGGUGAGGUAAUGGCCCACCAAACCUGUAACCGGUACGGGCUUUGAGAGAAGGAGCCCGGAGAUGGGCACUGAGACAAGGGCCCAGGCCCUAUGGGGCGCAGCAGGCGCGAAAAUUCUGCAAUAGGCGAAAGCUUGACAGAGUUACUCUGAGUGAUGCCCGCUAAGGGCAUCUUUUGGCACCUCUAAAAAUGGUGUAGAAUAAGGGGUGGGCAAGUCUGGUGUCAGCCGCCGCGGUAAUACCAGCACCCCGAGUGGUCGGGACGAUUAUUGGGCCUAAAGCAUCCGUAGCUUGUUCUGCAAGUCUUCCGUUAAAUCCACCUGCUCAACAGAUGGGCUGCGGGAGAUACUACAGGGCUAGGAGGCGGGAGAGGCAAGCGGUACUCAGUGGGUAGGGGUAAAAUCCUCUGAUCCACUGAAGACCACCAGUGGCGAAGGCGGCUUGCCAGAACGCGCUCGACGGUGAGGGAUGAAAGCUGGGGGAGCAAACCGGAUUAGAUACC